UACGGAGGGGGCAAGCGUUGUCCGGACUUACUGGGCGUAAAGGGCGCGUAGGCGGCCUGCUAAGUCGAACGUGAAAUCCCCGGGCUUAACCCGGGAACUGCGUCCGAUACUGGUUGGCUUGAAUUCGGGAGAGGGAUGCGGAAUUCCAGGUGUAGCGGUGAAAUGCGUAGAUAUCGUAAGGAAGACCAGUGGCGAAGGCGGGUCUCUGGACAGUUCCUGACGCUGAGGCACGAAGGCCAGGGGAGCAAACGGG
rnacentral:rRNA from 1 species